UACGAAGGGGGCUAGCGUUGUUCGGAAUCACUGGGCUUAAAGGGCGCGUAGGCGGCCGUUCAAGUCCGGGGUGAAAUCCUCCAGCUCAACUGGAGAAGUGCCUUGGAUACUGGAUUGCUCGAGGGAGGUAGGGGUCGAGGGAACUUCUGGUGGAGCGGUGAAAUGCGUUGAUAUCAGAAGGAACGCCGGUGGCGAAAGCGCUCGACUGGACCUCUUCUGACGCUGAGGCGCGAAAGCUAGGGGAGCAAACGGG
rnacentral:rRNA from 1 species